UUCGGAAAAGAUAAUAUUCUGAAUAAACAUAACUAUAAUGAAAAAUCAGUUAGGAAUUUUUUUAUAGAAUGAAAUUCUUUGCAAGAGAAGCCCAAAAAAAUUAGUAUUCACUUUGUUGAUAUUAUAUUUUUAUAUAUUUUAACUAUUCAAAAACUAUACAUAAUUAACAGCAAUGUAAUUAUACUAGAUCACACAAUUAACAAGAAAAAAAAGUUACAAGUUACACGAUAUUAGGCUCAUCGCCUUACUGGAGGUUUGAAUAACAUUAUUACUAAUAAGGAAAAACCUAACAAGUGAACAUCUGCAAUCCAAACAAAAAUUAUAUAAAUAGAUUAUGGAAUUUAUUUUGUCACAAAAUUUAAUAUUAAAGACAGUCAAAAAUAAAAAAGCAAACUUUCAUACAAAUAUGAAAUGAACAAAUUCAUGUGUACAAAUUUCUCAAUAUCUUUAAAAAAAAAUUUUGACAUUUAAUUAAAAAUUUUAAUGCCUUUUUCUUUGUUGUUAUCACUAUCCUAAAUACCUUUGGUUCAAAUUCAUUGUUAACAACUACAUUAUCAACCUUCAUAUCUCAAUGUAUAAUUUUGGAAUCACCUUCUGUGUCAAGGCUGCCGUGAUCUGCGUCUGUACUCAUCUUUCAGAAACAAUACCCCGAGCAAGAAGCCAUCAGAGUUGUAGAAUCACCACAGUUACAAUUUACGAUUUGAGAGAGAGCGAGGGAAAAAACAGAUCUGAGUGGAGAAGUAGGUUAGAAAUUUUGAAGAAAAGGUAGGCAACAAUUUUCCUGAUGCAGAAAAUAAAAAAAUAAAUAAAUAAGUAGGUGGAUUCCCAAUACAUCAGAAAACACAAAGCAACACUCUCAAAUCUCAAUAAUUGUCUUCUCAAACCAGCAAUCAACAUUAACAAAAAAAAUCAAAUAAACAAAAAAAAAUAAAAUAAACAAAACAAAACCAUAGCCACACCCAAAAGCCAAACAGAAAAUCAAUUAAUCAAGACAAUCAUAUCAUACCCAAAAGCCAAAAACUCAGAACCUUAGUAAGUUAUUUUCAAUGGCAAACCCUCUUAUUUUGUUUACAAAGUCAGCGCUUACCAUUCUGAGCAAUUAAAGCUAGUAUCGCGGCUAAAGCUUAUAGAUCUGGAGUGAGUAAAGCUCAGCUGGUGAGUUUGAAUUGGAAAUCCACCAUUCUCACUCAAGAAGGGAAUGAGUGGAAGAGAACAGGGGAGACAACGUCGGUUGGCGUCGGGAAGAAGUCGCCGUCAGCAUCACAUCUUCAUGGCAUGAGCAUCUUCUUCGCAGGGUGCAUCUGCAUCACAUAUCUUUGCUAUGAGCAUCACAACUUCGCCAUCGUGGGUUAGGUGGGAGAGAAAACUGAGGGGGGAAAAGAUGAGAACUAUUAUAUGAUGGUCUGGGUGGG
rnacentral:misc_RNA from 1 species